rnacentral:misc_RNA from 1 species
UCCUGUGUUACAUGCCUAGCGUGACAGAAAUUAGCCCCGAAUGAGUCCUAAUUUUUGCCUCUCACCAAUUCAUGGUGUUAGGUUGACGUGGAAGUACUGCCCAUUCUCCUUGAUUGCUCAUCCAUUUCGCGUUGCAAUCGUGGCCCAUGGGUUGCUACUAGGUCCCUCAGAUGCGGAACCUUUGAUGGGUGCACAUCAUGUUGUUGUUGUUUACCCCCAAAGCGUUCAUCGGUAGAUGUGUACGAUAGCUGUGCCCAUCUUGGUCCCCUCUCUAACUAGUUUGGAUGGGGCUCAUGCGGUUCCGGCGUCGCGAAGGAAUGCUACUUGGUUGAUCCUGCCAGUAGUCAUAUGCUUGUCUC